GUUUGAUCAUGGCUCAGAUUGAACGCUGGCGGCAUGCUUAACACGUGCAAGUCGAACGGUAACAGGCUAGCUUGCUAGCGCUGACGAGUGGCGGACGGGUGAGUAACGCGUAGGAAUCUACCCAGUUGUGGGGGAUAGCCCGGAGAAAUCCGGAUUAAUACCGCAUACGCCCUACGGGGGAAAACAGGGGAUCUUCGGACCUUGUGCAAUUGGAUGAGCCUGCGUUAGAUUAGCUAGUUGGUGGGGUAAAGGCCUACCAAGGCGACGAUCUAUAGCUGGUCUGAGAGGAUGAUCAGCCACAUCGGGACUGAGACACGGCCCGGACUCCUACGGGAGGCAGCAGUGGGGAAUAUUGGACAAUGGGCGCAAGCCUGAUCCAGCAAUGCCGCGUGUGUGAAGAAGGCCUUCGGGUUGUAAAGCACUUUCAAUUGUGAAGAAGAGGUUGAUAUUAAUACUAUUGACCUUUGACGUUAACUUUAGAAGAAGCACCGGCUAACUCCGUGCCAGCAGCCGCGGUAA
rnacentral:rRNA from 1 species